UUUCCGAGGGGGGGUGCACCGUUCCUGGAGGUACUGCAAUACCAGGUCGAUGCGUGGAGUGGACGGAGCAAGCUCCUAUUCCAUCACCCUG